rnacentral:tRNA from 1 species
GCCUGCCUAGCUCAAUCGGAUAGAGCGUCAGACUCUUAUGAGUAACAGGCAUCUGAAGGCUGCGAGUUCGACCCUCGCGGUGGGCU